AAAUGCUUUGACUAGCGCUGUGAGUGUCAGCAGGGCAUGGGAAAACCCAUUAAAUGUUAAAAGGACAAGAUCGCAGCAGACAUUCAAAUGGAUUUUUUGUUAUGAACAUAGGACUGACCUGAAGGAAAAUGCUAAAUUUGAAUGCAGGUGUAGCAUGAAAUGGCUGAUAUGAAUUCGAAAUCAUCUUUGUGAUGGAUGCCAACAUCAUUUACUGCUCUCUGUCUCAUUGUUACAUCUUUAGAGCGUUGUGAUUCAAAGCGCCCCUUGAGAUCAUAUCACUCUGCCUCAGCCAUUGUUUGACAGGAAGUAGCAGCGGUUGCAGUGAUUUGAUCCAUGAAGUGAGAGAAAUCAUGAAAAGCACUGGAAGCGUCAUGUCUCCUCUGAUUUUUUAAGCUAAGUGGAAUUUUAACAUUCAAAUAACAUCCAAAAAAUGCAUUUUAAUUAUUAAGGUUAACACUUUAUUUCGAUAGUCCACUUUAGACAUUCUACUAACUAUAAGUAACUUUGCAACUACUGUACAUGUCAACUAUAUCAAUCAUUAGAGAAUUAGAAUGUCAUUGUGGACUAUUUGAAUAAAGUGUAACCUUAUUAAUUUUUUAACUUUUGUAUGUAAUUUUUUUUUAGAUAGAUCGACAGACAGACAGACCAGUCACAAACAACCUGUUCCCUCUAAAGUAACAUUAAAUCAAACUUUUGUGUAGUUAAGUUUCCACAAACAUCAAUCAAAGCCAGUCACAAUAAAACUCUCCUUUAAAACCCAAUUAGAAUCCAUCCGACUGACUCUCACACAACCACACACAUACAUACACAUAUACAUCUGACCCCUGUUGUCUUUCUAGAUAAAUGAAGGAGUGAGCGUGAGAAGUAAGUGAGUAAAAUGUGACAUCGCUCUCCCCCAGCGCACUCUGCCUGCUGGGCUCUCAAAACCCAGAGUCACCCAAUUAAGGCCUGCUGUGUGUGUCUGUUGUGUGUGUGACUCAAUGGUGGAUGCUGAGAGCGUGUGUCAAAGAGCGAGAGUGAGAAAUGGAUGAAUUCACUGGUCUUUUUUGGGUCCCUGCCAUUUUCAGUGUUAGGUCAAAGACAGAAAAAAGAUGAGAAGAGAAAGAGGGAGUGAGAUAUAGAAGGACAAAUGAAGGCGAUCACUGUGGAAACUGCCUGAGUGCACAGAUGAAAGAGGAGAGGCAAAAUGAAUGAGCAUGGGUGAAGGUGAAGUCCUCCUCUCAAGUCCUCCUCUCGCCUCUCCUUUUCCUUUUUGUUCUUCUCGUCUUGCCUCCUCAUCUCAAAUACUGUCCUCUCAUCAUUUUGCCUGGUCUCCUCGUCUCGUUUUCUUGUUUCUCUCUUAAUUUUACAUCUCCUCGUCUCUCCUCUCCUCAUUUUUCUCCUCUCCUCCAUCACUGUCUCUCCUUUUUUCUUCUUGUCCCAUCUUGUCCCCUCUUCUCCCCUCAUAAUUUCUCCUCUUCAUCUCUGUCCUCUUCUUGUCUCUCCUCUUUUUGUCUAUUCUCUUCAUCUACCCUCAUCUCUCCUUUCAUUUUUUCUCAUCAUCGUUCUCUCCACUCCUUUUCUCUUCUCAUUGCUCCCCUUCUCCUCACCUCUAUUUUCCUCAUCAUUUCUCGUUCACCUCAGUCUUGUCUCUCUGUCUCAUUUUCUUGUAUCUCCUCUCUUAGUCUGUCCUCAUCUCAUCUCAUCUCAUCUCAUCUCUCCUUAUCAUUUCUCUUCUCCAUGUUUGUCUGUCCUUGUCUCUCCUCCCCCUGUCUUGUCUUGUCUCUUUGUCUCAUUUUCUUGUAUCUCCUCUCCUCUUUCCUCAUCUCUCCUCUGCUCAUCAUUUCUACUUUCCUUCAUCUCUGUCUCUCCUUGUCUCUCUUCUCUAUUUUCCUCUCUAUGUCUUGUCUUGGUUCCUUAUCGAAUCUUCUUGUAUCUCCACUCUUAAUCUUACCUCUCAUCUCCUCAUUUUUUCUCCCAUCCUCCAUCUCUGUCUCUCCUCAUCUUGUCUCCUUAUCUCAAUUUCUUGUCUCUUCUCAUUGCUCUUCUCAUUUCACCAUAUCUCCUCAAUUAUCCUCUUUUCUUUAGUCUUCUCUUCUUUCCUUUAUCUAUCCUCAGCUCUCCUUUCCUUUUCUCUCAUCAUCUCCUUUCUCCUCGCCUUUCGUCCUUGUCUCUCUUCUCCUCGUAUAUCCUCUCCUCUAAUUGUCUCUACUCCUGCUUUCUCCUCACCUCUACUUUCCUCUCCUCGUCUCUCUUUUCUCUUCUCAUUUAUCCUCUCCUCUUCUUUCCACUCCUUUCCUCUUCUCAUUGCUCCACUCCUUGCCUCUUCUCUCCUCAUCUCUCUUUUCUGUCUUCUUUUGGUCUCUUCUCUCCUCAACACUUCUCCUCCAUCUCUGUCUUCUCCUUGUCUCUUUUCUAUAUUCUCCUCUCCCUGUCUCGUCUUGUCACCUUGUUUCAUUUUCUUGUUUCUCAUCUUCUAAUCUAUCCUCUCCUCAUCUCUCCCCCUUCUCCAUCUCUGUCUCUUGUAUCUCCUCUCAUAAUCUAUAGUAUGCUCUCCUUGUCUCUCCUCUUUUCUUCUUUCCUUCUCUCACCUCAUCUUCUUAUUUCUCCUCUCCUAAUCUAUCCUCUCCUCAUCAUUUCUCCUCUCUCUUCUCCUCUCCUUAAUUGUCUUGUGUGAUCUUGUUUCCUUCUUGUCUCUCCUCAUCGCUUCUUUCAUCUUCUCUCAUUUAUCCUCUCCUCUCUUUGUAAUUCGCCUCCUCUUCUCUUUAUCUAACCUCUUAUCUCUUUUUCUCCCCCCCCAAUCUCUUUUCUCCUUGUUUUAUGUCCUUGUCUCUCCAUCUAUUCUCUCCUCAACAUGUCUUUCUUCUAUUUUUUUCUCCUCUCCUCUCUUCUACUUAUAUCCUCAUCUCUCUUUUGCAUUGUCAAAGAGAUGUCGAGAGGAAACAUAAUGGGAGGAAAGAAGAAAAGAGGAUCGAUGGAGACAAAAAGGAAGACGAGACAAGGAGGGGAGCAAUGAGGAGAGGAAAGGAGUAGAAGUGGACAGGAGAGGAUAGAUGAAAAUGUUGUAAUAAACCACAAGAUCAAAUGGAAGAAUUAGAAAAUAUCUUUCUCCAACUGUCAAAUGUCUCUUUCCCUCUUUUUUUAAUAUUAUCAUUAUUAAUCUUUCCUCUCAGUAUGCCUAUUGUAUC